rnacentral:lncRNA from 1 species
GGGACCCACCAGCUUGUCUGCCGCCAUCUGGGUUUUUUGAGAUGAAGUCUCGUUCUUGUCCCCCAGGCUGGAGUGCAAUGGCAUGAUCUCAGCUCACUGCAACCUCUGCCUCCCGGGUUCAAGCAAUUCUCCUGUCUCAGCCUCCUGAGUAGCUGGAUUACAGAGUCUUUUCUAAGGCACCAACUACUUCCUUCAAGCAGCAGCCAGAGAUCUUUGCUUAAUGGCUGAGAAACACAGAGGAGAGACCCAGAGAGAAGGAGAAGGCCGCAUGAAGAUGGAGCAGAGACUGGAGUUAUUCAGCCAAGUCAAGGAAUGCCUGGAGCACCAGAAGCCGGAAGAGGCAAGGAAGGAUCCUCCCUUAGAGCAUUUGGAAGAGUGUGGCCCUGCCAACACCUUGACUUCAAACUUCUGGCCUCCAUAACUAUGAAAUAAAUUCUUGUUGUUUUAAGCCACCAA